CCUACGGGAGGCAGCAGUGGUGACUCUUACGGGAGGCAGCAGUGGGGAAUCCUGCCCAAUGGGGGAAACCAUGAAGGCGUUACGCCGGUAAAGCAAUGAAUCAGGAAAGAAUAAA
rnacentral:rRNA from 1 species